UGGUUUUUUUUUUUUUUAUACCUUCCUCACUUCUCAAAACGUAAUUCUGCUACAGUAACGGCAUGCUCGUACGACAAUGGACCGAUGCCAACACGACAGAUCUGAUCGUAUGGAGAGUCAGUAACGACAGCCUGUUUACAGGCAGGAGAAAUGCAGCCAUCAAAGCCUUUGAGCUGUACGUCAAAGAGAAACAGCUGGCGGG